rnacentral:rRNA from 1 species
UACGUAGGUGGCAAGCGUUGUCCGGAUUUACUGGGCGUAAAGGGCGUGCAGGCGGUUUGUUAAGUGCAGGGUGAAAGCUCCCGGCUCAACUGGGAGAGGUCCUUGCAUACUGGCGAACUCGAGGGAGGCAGAGGAAAGUGGAAUUCCCGGUGUAGUGGUGAUAUGCGUAGAUAUCGGGAGGAACACCUGUGGCGAAGGCGGCAUCCUGGACCAACACUGACACUGAGGAGCGAAAGCCAGGGGAGCAAACGGG